rnacentral:lncRNA from 1 species
GUCCUGAAGAAAACAAAUAUCCCUAGGUCCCAAGAACAACACAUUUCCAGGUGUUUAACACUUUUAUUAAGAAAGCCGAAAACAAAAAUGCAGAUGCCUGGAAAGACAAAACUGCCUUUGUGUAUUAGCAGAGGCAGAGCUGUUGCUGUAACAGCUGGAGCUUAGAGGAUCACCUAGGUCCAAGUCUUCGCAGGUAGCAGGUCUCCUGAGAUUCAGGCGGUUUUUGUACAUUAGCCCAAAAGCCCUUUGAAGUCAUGGCCAGCAGCUUAGGCACCCUGGCCUGUCAGAAGCAGGAUCAUGAUCAGGGCAGUCUCCACCAUAACAGAUCUCAGGUUCCAGUUCUUUCUCCAACAUGCUGAGCAGGCCCCGCCAGGGUUCAUUUCUCUGUCUUUCUCCUGGUCCACCUCUCCUGGGGACAUCUGGAGCUCCUUCUGUUUCUCACGUUGGAAAACCUCUGCACCCCACUUCCUGGCAUAGUUCAUUCUAGGAUGAUGUCUCAAGCAAUCCCAGCUACUAAGUCCACAGGGAAGGGGAAACAGUUCCCAAUCAACAGAACAGCCAUUCUCAAAGCAGUGGCUUGGCUCUGCCCAGAAACACGGUGGCCAAGAUUUGGGAAUACCAUGGACUCAGGGUUGACAGGAAGUGUGGACUUCCUGGUGUGUGCUGUGAAGAAUCUGACAUGUCUUCCACAAAAACAGGGGCAGACCAGUUCUGUUGUCUUGGCUUCACCAAUGUAACACAGACAGCAACUCCUGGAACCUCUGAUUGAGAAGUCAAUUAACUUUUUAUCCUCUAACUUCUAGGCCCCUCCCAACCGGUACUCUUCAGGAUGCUAGAAUGUAACUUCAUAACCCCAUCAGUUGUUUGCAUUAAAUAGGAGGUAAACUCUGAAGAUCCUGGUGCUGUAUGCCUUUAAUCCCACUGGGGAAUUAGCCAGGGGGCAGAUGGAUCUCUGAGUUCCAGACCAGCCUGAUCUACAGAGCUAGUUCCAGGACAGCAACAGAGAAAGACAGGGAAAUCCUAUCUUAAAAAACAAUCAAAAUAUGAAAACAAAACAAAAUAUAGUAAAGAUUGUGAUGGUAAAAUCUUAUCAUCCCUGAUAAGAUUAUCUAGAGUUAAACAUUAUACAGGACUAAUGGAGAAAGCACUAAAGUAUGGGGAGGUCUACUUGGGAUGCCUGAUUUAGAGAAUGUGUGUUUUAUCUUGGAAGUCAUUUUUCAUUUGUUCUUUCAAGUCAAUGUGCUCUAGAGGAAUAGAAUUUAUAAAGUCAUCUUACUUACAGGCUGUGAUCCAGCUUAUUUAACAAUGGCUGACUAUGAUCUGAAAGUCCGAGAAGCCAGAAGUUGCUCAGUCUAUUAAAAUGGAUAUCUCAGCAGGUCUUCAGUAAUCCCUGGAAUCCUUAGGAAGUAAGCUCUGAUGCUAGUGAAGUAAUAUACUUGCUAGCAAGGUGAGAGUUCUCAGGCUAAGUGAAAAAACUUCCUUCUUCAUGUUCUUUUAUACACUUCCAGCAGAAUGUGUUGCCCAGGUUUAAAUGUAUGUCUUCCUGCUGGAGAUCUGCAUUACAGGCAUGUCUGGAUUAAAAGUUGUGUUGUCCCAGCUCAAAAGAUCUGCUUUGAUGUUGUCUUCAUACCUCAAACAUCUGGAUUGUAAACGGAUCUUCCUACUGUAGGCAAAACUACCUCUCAGGUAUGUCCUUCAAUUCCAUACAUAUCUCUCAACUUGCCAACCAAGAAUAGCCAUCACAGACACAGGCUGUUCAUGAACUCACUUUGUAGACCAUCCUGGCCUCAAACUCACAAAAAUAAACCUUCUCUACCUCCUGAUCGAUGAGAUUAAAUGCACGAGACACCAUCUCUUUGAAAUAUCCCAUUGUCUCUGGGCAAUGGUGGUGCACACCUUUUUAACCCCAGUACUCAGGAGGCAAAUGCAGGUGGAUCACUGUGAGUUGGAGGCCAGCCUUGAACUAGUUCCAGAACACCUAGGGCUGUUAUACAUUGAAAGCCUGUCUUGGGGAAAAGAAAAGAAAUAUCCCAUUCUACUGGCAAUUUUUACCUGUGGAUUAUUAUGAAGAUGAUUUCCUCCUAAACCGUACUGUUUACUGAAGCAGUGAUUUUAUAUAAUAGUAGUGUUAGUUUAGAAAGAAUUUUGAUGGUUGAGGGUUUUUAAUAAAUAUAGUAAGAAAUUAUGAUGGAUAUUAGUUAAGUGGAAAAAUUAAUAUACGUAAAGGUAGAAUAAAAUGUUGCUGCUGCCUCUGAUAAAACAGGGAAGCAUCACAGGGCUAGAACACAAGAGUUUGAGGAUCUGUAUAGACUGUGGCUUAUAUUAAUGAUUAACAAAAACAAUCAAGUCCCAAUAGUCCAGAUUAUUUACAUUCUUUUAAUCUUGAUGUUAGGAGACCUGUUCACAGAUUUUGGAAUGCAUCAUAGCUGAAACAAAGCUUUGAAAAUGACUUGAGGUUAGACUAAGAUGUUUUUGUCAAAGAGCUUUGAAAUGAAAAAGUCUUACAAAACAAUUCAAGUUCACAAGGACACUUAGCUGCUCAUGGGCUCAUUAAGGUCAGGGAUCAAAAACAAGGCAGCCCAAUUAUUACUACCUUAUGUACCUUUAUUGCUCAGAUUUGUUGGAGAUCAAAGUCAAUGAUUAAUUCUGUGUGCCUAUGUCUACUCUCAGCUCCCUGGUAUGAAAAACUGUUGAUGACUGGAUAUACUCUGUGAGGAUUUAUACAUUUUCUGUUUGUGAGUCUUUCAAGAUCCCUUAUAGAUUACCUUUCAAAAGUAAUAAACUGAUCGGUCCUUUCUUUGUAAGUGCAAUAUGCAGCCAGCCAGUAAAAGAAGUGUCUGAGAGAAGUACCCUGCUUGUUUGCACUCUGUUCAUCUAUAAAAAGGUUGCUUGGACAUGAAUAUAUGUGGGUUCUUGGGACAACUUGUUUUUCACCUGUAAUACAUAAAAUAUUCAGUCAUGUAAGGGAAAUUAAAAACGUGCUAUUUUCCUGUAUUCAUUAUACUCAUUCUUUUGAAAAAAAAGAAUGUAACCACAUGGUAAUUUUUUAUAUAGCCUGAGGAUUUUGUGGAACACAUGAGCUGUAGAGGAAAAAAUAAAGAGCAGAAUAUAGAAGAAAAAUAAAGAAAAAGAAGAAAAGCAUCAAGAGUGUGUGAGUCUUUUCACUUACCCUCUCAGAUAAAAAAAAAAAAAAAGUCUUCCCUUCCAGCCCUGCUCUGCUGGAGGCUGAGUCUCAGGGCAGCAGUACCCUGGCUGUCUUAAAAAUCUCUCUGUAGACCAAGCUGGCCUCAAACUCAGAGAUCUGCCUCAGGCUUCUGAGUGCAGAGAUCAAGGUGUGCCCCACCAUGCCCAGCCCAGUUUACACACUAGGUUUUAAGUAGAAACAAGCUACUGGUCCUUCUCAAGAGAUGAAGGCAUGCCAUAGUAGGUUCCAGCAAGUCCAAUUCCACUGUCAGAAAGCCGCUGACUAUCCAGUUCUCCAUCGCAGAAAAUGUUUGCACCAGGUUUCAGUUGCAACAUGGCUGUUUCCUUGUGCUUCUGGUUGUCUGAAAUUACACAGUGCAGGGAAUCAAAGCGAUGUUGGCUGUAUCCUUCGAGAUUCCAGCCGCUGAGAGCAACAGAGUUCCUGUCACACAGCUACUGUCUCCUUGGGGACAUCAACCUCCUGUAGCAUACCAGAUGACAUCCACUGGACAUUGUCUCACAUCUUACACAGCUUGCAAGACCCAGCAUUCAGUUGCAGCAGGACCUUUAAGCUGUACACCCAGUGUCUUCUAAGAAGCCCUUCCUGGGCAGAGCACAAGCCAGGCCCCUUCUAGAGCAGUAGCAGAGCACACACACAACUCCCUUUGUUCCUCAAGAACCCUGGUUUCCCUACUUGCAUCCUAGGUCCUCUGUUAGCUGUCCCUGGUGAGAUGCCAUAGGAAGAGCCAGAGUGCAAGGAACAGUCCGAACCAGAAGCCAGAAGGGUUCCGGUUCUGAGUAGCUCUGCCUCCCAGCUGUGGCUGGAGACCUUGUGAUCAUAGUGGACACAGCAGCGAAUCUGGAUCAUUAGUCCUUUCGAAGUUACCCAGAGCUUUGAGGCCAACCCAUCUCAUUCCACCAGUUGCCUUGAUUUGCCAUUGGAGCUAAGUUCCCAUGGGCUGACCUCUACCUCCAUUAGAAACCCGCAGUGAUGUGAAAGCCUGCACGUGAUUUGGUUCCUUCGUGCUUUUCUUCUGCUGCCGGCCAGGCUCUGGCUCAAGUGGGCAUGCUGCAAAAGGACGUAGUGCAAACCCUCAGUGGGGCUACUGUAGCGGUUUCCAUCUGUUUUUGCACGCUCUCAGCUCUCCGAAUCUUCCCAGCACCGAAAUUUCGUUUGAUUGCUUUAGUUUCCGGCUGUCCUGCCUCAUGUCUGGAAACCAGAAUACGGGUUUACUUUACGCUUUGCCUAUACUGGUGCAGGAAUCCCGGCUCUGGCACUACAGAGGUAGAAGGAACUGAUUUGGGGGCUCUGGUGGUAGUUGAGAUAACUUUAUGCGGACUAGAUGGGGCUUGCUACGUCCAAGAAUCAGUCAUUCAUCAUAGCAGACAUUCAUCAUUUUUCUUGCUUUCUCUUUUGCUCAGGUAGAACCCCACCCUCAAGCCAACACCCAAUCCCACCCCAUUCAUAGUCUUCACAAGUCCAAGACAACCUCAGUAUUUGGCUAUGGAACAUUCUGGAGUUGACUAGAACAGCCUAGAGCACCUAGCAGCAGGACACCACUACUGUCCUCAGCUAGACCCUCGGUUUCUCCAGGUUUUAACCAGGACCUUUGGCCCACAGUUUCUUUCCUGGUGCCAGCAGCUGUAUUUUCCUUUGAGACUGAGGCUUUCUGAAUCUCAGCCUGAGAAGGAUGCCACCCAUUCCACUUCUCUCAGACAGAUAAACCUGCCCACUUUCUUGGGCACCUCAGAGUGAGGCUGAGCUGGACUCUGGUAUUUCCCUCUAGUUUGGUGUUGGCACAAACACUCAGUCAAACUCAGCUGCUAAAGACGCGCCUACACAUUCAAGUUCGUGCCCUGUACAGAUCACCAAACGAGUGCCUAGGUCGGCUUCACGUCUAAACACCUGGCUUGCAACUGGUCCUUUUACUGAACGACACACAAGGACCUCCUCCGUGUGGAAUACAACUCCAGGAGACAACCACGACAAUGUACCCUGACGAUCUCUUAGGCCCAAACUCAAGGUUUGAACCAGCCUUGAAGUCGUCUGCAGGUGUGCAAUUACUAAACCCUCCCUCCUUUCCCUACUGGUCGGUGGGCAGAGCAGGAGCCAAUGAGGAAGUCCAUUGGUUAAGUCAAAACACCUUGGUCUCAGGUGCCCUUCUCGGCUUGGGAGCUGUAAGAUGGAGGCUUCUUCAUCACAGGGAUGGCCAGCAUUCAUCCCAUUUUAGCCGUCCUAUGCUGCAGUUUUCCGGAUCUGUAAUCCGUGAUCCCCAAGUUCCGUGAGUCGUCCGUGGAGCCGACUUCUGAUCUGCUGUCAGUAGGCGGUGGGCUGCAAUCCGUCCGCAAUUUCCAUCCGUUUCCGUGAUUUUCUGCUUCGGUCCUUUCGUUUUGCGGCCAUAAUAGGCUCUGCCAGGACGAUGUGAGCAAAUGCUGCAAGAAAAGGCUGACCCCUCGGUGCCAGUGUGCACAAGACCGGUCCGGAAUGCGCGGUUUCAGUUUGUUUCGCGUCCGCUAUGCUCAGCUCGCCCUCGUUUCUAAACGCUGAAAGUUCUUUCGAUUUCUUUCGUUUGUGGAGAUCGCUCUGACUGCGGUCGCACGUUUUCAGUCAGGCAAGUGUAUGUAGCUAUGGCCUCCCGUGCAUUUGCCAAUGCCUGCCUGACAGCAGCUCACUGGCCCCUCCGGGGAUAGUACAGCCCCGCAUUCCUGGGAAAGUUUAUGGUUAAUCGGCCUAUCUGCUUGUUCAAGCUCGUGGAUGAGCACAGAAGGAGACGGGGCCAAAGAAGAGGUCCUAGCUAGAAGCCUAAAUCCUUCUAGAAGCAGAUCUACAGCAGAGCUGCAGGCCGGCCUCUUCUUCGGGCCUCUUCUUCACUUCAGGGGACGCUGCCCAGCCCUUCACCUCCAAGCGAUUUGUAGCCGGCACUUUUGGUUUUCCCCGCCCGCUUUCGGCAAACCUCCGCAAUUCGUUCUCCUAGCGAGCCAAGAUAUGUUCAUAUCUCAGCAGCCCUGGACUGAAAUUCAACGGUGAUUUCAAACCGCAAACAGGAUUUUGUUCCAUGGUGGUUUUAUUUACCCCCUGAAUCAGGCUCUGCCAGGCAUAUUCGAAAACUCCUCCGAUUUCUUUCAUUUACCGAUUUUGUUCAGAGUUCCGUCCGGCAAACGAACUUUUUAAGCCAAACAAGUUAACCAAUUCAUCAGACCCGGCCCCUCCACCACCAGGAAGACUACAAAUAAAAGACUGAUGGAUACCACUAGAAGGGCAAUACUAAUACAGCUUUUCCCGGAUUGUUAACAGAGAGCCCAAAUGGUUUGCUUCUGCAAGAUGAUCUGAAAAAGUCAGUCCCUAUCAUCAAGAGAGAAACUGAUCCUCAAGAGAGAGAGAUGUUUGUUCCUGCUCCAAGACACAAAUAAGAAGUUGGCCCUUUUGACAUGAAGAAUUUGAAGACAACUGUCCUAAUGGGAUUUAAUCCUUUCUUUUUAUUGUUUCCUUUGGAUUUUUGAGGCAGAGUCUCUAUAUAGCCCUGUCUGUCUCACUCUCACUACUUAGCCAAGGCUUGUCUAGAACUCUGAGAGAUCCACAUGGUUAAAGGGUGAGCCACCACACCUGGCUUUAUUUAUGCAUUUAGUAUAUUUGUAUGGGAAAGCAAGUGCCAUAGCCAGAGUGUAGAAGUCAGAGGGUGAUUUCCAAACCUAGGUCUUCAGAAUUGGCUGCAGGUACCUUUACUGAAUAAAACUCCUUGCUAUCUCUGCUUUCACAAAUGCACUAAUUCAGAGUUAUUGCUGAAAAAAAAUCCCCAAAGUCAAAAUCAUAGUUAUAAAACUAGAAUAGUGGCCUUUGUCUAAAUUAGUGGCAUUUUUAUUGAUAUGCAUUCAUUAACUUGUUUUAUUCAACUUAAAAAACAUGCUUAAGCCCACAAUAAUCUUUGAAUUCUGUCUUCUUCUAUUAUACCAUUAAAAUGCAGGCUGUUAUGUUUGUUUGUUUGUUUGUUUGUUUGUUUGUUUGUUUAGAAUAGGGUCUCAUUAAGUAGAGCAGUGGCUGGCCAGAUACCCGCAGAUCUGUAUAAAUAUUGCUUUUUGUACCAACUGCCCACUCUUUGUUCCAGUAGCUGCUCCCCAAUUUCCUCUCAGAGGCUUAAAUUAAUUAUAAAUGCUUGCCUAUAUAGCUGGGUCCUAACAGUUCCCUCAGGGGACAGGGUGAGAAGGUGUGGUGUCAAUGAACACCAGAGUCAGAUGAAAAGAAACAGCAGACUCAUUAUUUAGCAUGGGGGGGAUGGAUUUUAUAUUCCCUCCCAGCACCCCAGCAUUCCUAUCUGCUGGCAUUGCAUGGUUGACCCUCAUUGGCUAGGCAUAAUCAGGACCUCUGACGGUGACUGUUGCUAGACCCUCAGACAGCACCAGGUAGACUCCAAGUUGGCUCAUCUCUCUCUGCCUUGGCCUUGUAGGCCUUAAUGUCCUACAGGCCAAUAGCUCAGGCUUAUUACUAACUAGCUCUUACAUUUUAAGUUAACCCAUAUUCCUUAUUUACAUGGAAUUACCUUUAUUAGCAUGGCAUGUUCAACUCCUGAUCCCUCUGCAUCUGGCUGGUGACUCAUGACUUCCCCCAUUUUCCUUCCUAUCAUCCUUAGUUUGGCUGCCUGGCUAUUGGACAAUCAGUGUUCUAUUAAACCAAUUUGGGUGCCAAAUCUUUACAGUGUACAAGAGGAUUAUUCCACAGCAAAUAUGCAUACCUCUGCCUCCCAAGUGCUGAAAUUAAAGGCUUGGGGGCUGGAGAGAUGGCUCAGAGGUUAGGAGCAUUGGCUGCUGACUGCUCUUCCAGAGGUCCUGAGUUCAAUUCCCAGCAACCAUGAAAAUUAAAAAAAAAGUAAAGCCUUAUGCCACCAAGCCUGUCUAAAGACUCCUUGUCCUGUCUUAUUUAUUUUAAAAACUUUUCAUACAUGCAAAUAACAUGUUUUAAUUAGAUCCACCCCAUGCCCCAGCUGCCCACUUCUCUCUAUCAACCCCAAUACAUCCACCAUUUUUCUCUCUGAGCUUUUUCUUGAAAUGCCGGCUUGCUAUGCUGCAUGGGCUGCUGGAGAUCUCUCCACCCACCUCCACCCUUCUCCAAAGUAAUUGGAAUUAAAGGGAUGUGAUGCCAAGUGCAGUCAAAGCAUGCUUUUAGCAUGUCACACACUCAAUGCACUAUAAUAAUUCCACAGGGUCUGAUCUUGUUGUGUUCCAUAUUAUCGGCAUAAUCAAAGAAACAGAGUCACCCUAAGAGGUACUUCAGACUCUGCAGUAGCAGGAAGGGACGGUUUUGAGGAACUGAACUUUCAACAGCCUUUCAGAAGCCUAUUUGUUGAUUGCUACACAAAGGUUGGUUUCUUUGGGUAAAACAAGUUCCUCAUAACAAUGCCCCUAAUCUAAACUAUAUGUUUUCUGAAGGAAAAUACCUUUCCCCCUACAAAGUUAGCCGGUAUUGUGUACUAUUUGCAGAACCCAAUCAUGCAAGCUGUUCCUGGUAUGGUAGGAUUGUCUUGUGACUAAAGUCAUGCAAAGGCUGCAAAACUUCAGAAAAACAACUCUAUAAAUCACAGAAAACAAUCACUGUUUUCCCACAAUGAUUCCAACAUCUAAGAGUUUAAGGAAAACAAUACUUCAUUCUAUGCUUACCCUACAUACAGUAAAAGAAAAAAAGAACUAUUUCAUUUAAUAUUUACCCUACAUGAAAUGAUUCUACUAGAUUUCUACUACAUGAUCGAUUUAUGAAACUUGAUUCUUCUUUCCAAAGUCUUGCUAUGGUAAACUAUAAUGAUGCCAACAUUCUUUAAUAUUUCACAGUGCUCACCUGCAGGAGUUAUUGUUGAACACAUAUAUUAAAUGUAAUAACUAGUGGUUGAGACUGUAAAUUGAACUGUCUGUCAUAAUAUAAUUCCCCAAAGUAGACACCAUCAUCUUGAAAUCAUGACAUAUUUGCAUUAAUCAGAACAGUAGUGAUUUUUCUGGUAUGACUAUAUUUUCAAAUGUAUUCAACAAGCUGCUCUAGGUCAUUAUGCCAUGGUCUACAUCUGUUGAUGCCAACUGCCAUAUUGUCGGAUUAUUUGAUAGCCUUUAAAAAAAUCAGUUACAUCUAUUUCAAAAUUCUAUGUAAAUUUAUGAACACAAUUAAAUGGUUCGCUCGGAACCUUCGUUCUUUCCUAUAGAAUAUGGGUUAUUCACUCUAUAAUCCUCUAGGCAAGUACGUGUCUUACGCCCCUCCCACUCCCCCCAAA